rnacentral:rRNA from 1 species
GAUGAACGCUGGCGGCGUGCCUAAUACAUGCAAGUCGAGCGAACAGACGAGAAGCUUGCUCCUCUGACGUUAGCGGCGGACGGGUGAGUAACACGUGGAUAACCUACCUAUAAGACUGGGAUAACUUCGGGAAACCGGAGCUAAUACCGGAUGAUAUAUUGAACCGCAUGGUUCAAGAGUGAAAGACGGUUUUGCUGUCACUUAUAGAUGGAUCCGCGCUGCAUUAGCUAGUUGGUAAGGUAACGGCUUACCAAGGCAACGAUGCGUAGCCGACCUGAGAGGGUGAUCGGCCACACUGGAACUGAGACACGGUCCAGACUCCUACGGGAGGCAGCAGUAGGGAAUCUUCCGCAAUGGGCGAAAGCCUGACGGAGCAACGCCGCGUGAGUGAUGAAGGUCUUCGGAUCGUAAAACUCUGUUAUUAGGGAAGAACAAAUGUGUAAGUAACUAUGCACGUCUUGACGGUACCUAAUCAGAAAGCCACGGCUAACUACGUG